ACCUUUUGUAUAAUGGGUCAGCGACUUAUAUUUUGUAGCAAGGUUAACCGUAUAGGGGAGCCGUAGGGAAACCGAGUCUUAACUGGGCGAUUAGUUGCAAGGUAUAGACCCGAAACCCGGUGAUCUAGCCAUGGGCAGGUUGAAGGUUGGGUAACACUAACUGGAGGACCGAACCGACUAAUGUUGAAAAAUUAGCGGAUGACUUGUGGCUGGGGGUGAAAGGCCAAUCAAACCGGGAGAUAGCUGGUUCUCCCCGAAAGCUAUUUAGGUAGCGCCUCGUGAACUCAUCUUCGGGGGUAGAGCACUGUUUCGGCUAGGGGGCCAUCCCGGCUUACCAAACCGAUGCAAACUCCGAAUACCGAAGAAUGUUAUCACGGGAGACACACGGCGGGUGCUAACGUCCGUCGUGAAGAGGGAAACAACCCAGACCGCCAGCUAAGGUCCCAAAGUCAUGGUUAAGUGGGAAACGAUGUGGGAAGGCAUAGACAGCCAGGAUGUUGGCUUAGAAGCAGCCAUCAUUUAAAGAAAGCGUAAUAGCUCACUGGUCGAGUCGGCCUGCGCGGAAGAUGUAACGGGGCUAAACCAUGCACCGAAGCUGCGGCAGCGACGCUUAGGCGUUGUUGGGUAGGGGAGCGUUCUGUAAGCCGUUGAAGGUGGCCUGUGAGGGUUGCUGGAGGUAUCAGAAGUGCGAAUGCUGACAUAAGUAACGAUAAAGCGGGUGAAAAGCCCGCUCGCCGGAAGACCAAGGGUUCCUGUCCAACGUUAAUCGGGGCAGGGUGAGUCGACCCCUAAGGCGAGGCUGAAAAGCGUAGUCGAUGGGAAACAGGUUAAUAUUCCUGUACUUGGUGUUACUGCGAAGGGGGGACGGAGAAGGCUAGGCUAGCCGGGCGACGGUUGUCCCGGUUUAAGCGUGUAGGGGGUGUGACCUGGUAAAUCCGGUUGCAUGUUAACCCUGAGGCGUGAUGACGAUGCACUACGGUGCAGAAGUAGUUGAUGCCCUGCUUCCAGGAAAAUCCUCUAAGCUCCAGGUAACAUUAAAUCGUACCCCAAACCGACACAGGUGGUCAGGUAGAGAAUACCAAGGCGCUUGAGAGAACUCGGGUGAAGGAACUAGGCAAAAUGGUGCCGUAACUUCGGGAGAAGGCACGCUGGCAUGUAGGUGAAGUCCCUCGCGGAUGGAGCUGAAGCCAGUCGAAGAUACCAGCUGGCUGCAACUGUUUAAUAAAAACACAGCACUGUGCAAACACGAAAGUGGACGUAUACGGUGUGACGCCUGCCCGGUGCUGGAAGGUUAAUUGAUGGGGUCAGCCGCAAGGCGAAGCUCUUGAUCGAAGCCCCAGUAAACGGCGGCCGUAACUAUAACGGUCCUAAGGUAGCGAAAUUCCUUGUCGGGUAAGUUCCGACCUGCACGAAUGGCGUAAUGAUGGCCAGGCUGUCUCCACCCGAGACUCAGUGAAAUUGAACUCGCUGUGAAGAUGCAGUGUACCCGCGGCAAGACGGAAAGACCCCGUGAACCUUUACUAUAGCUUGACACUGAACAUUGAGCCUUGAUGUGUAGGAUAGGUGGGAGGCUUUGAAGCGUGGACGCCAGUCUGCGUGGAGCCAUCCUUGAAAUACCACCCUUUAAUGUUUGAUGUUCUAACUCGGCCCCGUAAUCCGGGGUGAGGACAGUGUCUGGUGGGUAGUUUGACUGGGGCGGUCUCCUCCCAAAGAGUAACGGAGGAGCACGAAGGUUAGCUAAUCACGGUCGGACAUCGUGAGGUUAGUGCAAAGGCAUAAGCUAGCUUGACUGCGAGAGUGACGGCUCGAGCAGGUACGAAAGUAGGUCUUAGUGAUCCGGUGGUUCUGAAUGGAAGGGCCAUCGCUCAACGGAUAAAAGGUACUCUGGGGAUAACAGGCUGAUACCGCCCAAGAGUUCAUAUCGACGGCGGUGUUUGGCACCUCGAUGUCGGCUCAUCACAUCCUGGGGCUGAAGUAGGUCCCAAGGGUAUGGCUGUUCGCCAUUUAAAGUGGUACGCGAGCUGGGUUUAGAACGUCGUGAGACAGUUCGGUCCCUAUCUGCCGUGGGCGUUGGAAGAUUGAGAGGGGUUGCUCCUAGUACGAGAGGACCGGAGUGAACGCACCACUGGUGUUCGGGUUGUCAUGCCAAUGGCAUUGCCCGGUAGCUAAGUGCGGAAAAGAUAAGCGCUGAAAGCAUCUAAGCGCGAAACUUGCCUCAAGAUGAGUCUUCCCUGGACCUUUAAGGUCCCUGAAGGAACGUUUAAGACUAAGACGUUGA
rnacentral:rRNA from 1 species